rnacentral:rRNA from 1 species
AUGGGAACGCGAAGAACCUUACCUAGACUUGACAUCUUCUGCAUUAAUCGUAAUGGAUGAAAUCCCUUCGGGGACAGAAUGACAGGUGGUGCAUGAUUGUCGUCAGCUCGUGUCGUGAGACGUUGGGUUAAGUACCCGCAACGAGCGCAACCCUUACUUACUAGUUGCUACCAUUAAGUUUAGAGCACUCUAGUGAGACUGCCCGGGGUUAACCCGGGGUAGGGAAGGGCGGGGGAGUGACGUCAAAUACAUCAUGCCCCUUACUGUCUAGGGCAACACACGUGCUACAAUGGUGAGUACAGAUAGAUGCGAUACCGCAAGGUGGAGCCAAACUACUAAAACUCAUCCCAGUUCGGAUUGUAGGCUGCAACUCGCCUACAUGAAGUUGGAGUUGCUAGUAAUCGCGAAUCAGAAUGUCGCGGUGAAUACGUUCCCGGGUCUUGUACACACCG